rnacentral:rRNA from 1 species
AUCAUGGCUCAGAUUGAACGCUGGCGGAAUGCUUUACACAUGCAAGUCGAACGGCAGCACGGGGCAACCUGGUGGCGAGUGGCGAACGGGUGAGUAAUACAUCGGAACGUGCCCAAUCGUGGGGGAUAACGUAGCGAAAGCUACGCUAAUACCGCAUACGAUCUACGGAUGAAAGCGGGGGAUCGCAAGACCUCGCGCGAAUGGAGCGGCCGAUGGCAGAUUAGGUAGUUGGUGGGGUAAAGGCUCACCAAGCCUGCGAUCUGUAGCUGGUCUGAGAGGACGACCAGCCACACUGGAACUGAGACACGGUCCAGACUCCUACGGGAGGCAGCAGUGGGGAAUUUUGGACAAUGGGCGCAAGCCUGAUCCAGCCAUUCCGCGUGCAGGAUGAAGGCCCUCGGGUUGUAAACUGCUUUUGUACGGAACGAAAAGGCUUUCUCUAAUACAGGGGGCUCAUGACGGUACCGUAAGAAUAAGCACCGGCUAACUACGUG